CUUUAUUGGAGAGUUUGAUCCUGGCUCAGGACGAACGCUGGCGGCGUGCCUAAUACAUGCAAGUCGAGCGGAUCUGAGGGAGCUUGCUCCCAAAGAUUAGCGGCGGACGGGUGAGUAACACGUGGGCAACCUGCCUGUAAGACUGGGAUAACUCCGGGAAACCGGGGCUAAUACCGGAUAAUUCAUUUCCUCCCAUGAGGGGAUGCUGAAAGACGG
rnacentral:rRNA from 1 species